GGAGAAAAGCAGGGGAUCGCAAGACCUCACGUUAUAGGAGCGGCCGAUGUCCGAUUAGCUAGUUGGUGGGGUAAAGGCCUACCAAGGCGACGAUCGGUAGCUGGUCUGAGAGGAUGAUCAGCCACACUGGGACUGAGACACGGCCCAGACUCCUACGGGAGGCAGCAGUGGGGAAUUUUGGACAAUGGGCGAAAGCCUGAUCCAGCCAUGCCGCGUGCGGGAAGAAGGCCUUCGGGUUGUAAACCGCUUUAGUCCGGGAAAAAGGGGUGCGAGGAUAGUACCCUUGUGCUUUGAUGGUACUGGAAGAAUAAGCACCGGCUAACUACGUGCCAGCAGCCGCGGUAAUACGUAGGGUGCGAGCGUUAAUCGGAAUUACUGGGCGUAAAGCGUGCGCAGGCGGUCUUGUAAGACAGUCGUGAAAGCCCCGGGCUUAACCUGGGAACUGCGUUUGAAACUACAAAGCUAG
rnacentral:rRNA from 1 species